CGGACAAGAUGGCGGCUCUCUGUGUGUGCAAAUGAAAAUGUUCCAUGAUGGAGUAAAAAGGACGUUGUUUCGUCUUCUAAAAACUUUAAAAAGAGCAACAUGAGAGGGAGGCGCAAGAUAAAAUAAUUGUGCGCUUUGUUUUAAGUAGAAGAAUGUUGCGUAAUUCUCAAAUUUUUGGCAGAAAUGUCCAGCGCGCUUUGACCUUUUUCUCAGACCAGCAAGUGUUUGUCAUUCGCAAGAACAGUUUUAGCUUUAUCCAUGGGAAUUUGACUAAAAACCUUGAUGCCAACAAGAACGAGGAACCCGAGAAAUUCACCGUGUAUGUGCAUUGGCCAUUUUGUAAGCAACUGUGCACCUUCUGCAAUUUCAACAAAUAUGUAAGAGAAAACGUAAACCAUGCAAGGAUGAGAGACUGUUUGGUCACAGAACUCAAGACACUUGUUAAGUUGUCUGGUGCAACUAUAGUAAAGUCUGUAUACUUUGGGGGAGGCACUCCCUCUCUGGCUGAACCAUCUACAAUAUCAGCCAUAUUAGACACUGUAAGCCACCUCUGCCAAUUGGAUCAAGAUGCUGAAGUUUCUUUGGAAGCAAAUCCUUCAUCUUCAGAGAUUUCAAAACUCAGGAGUUUCAAAGCGGCUGGUGUUAAUCGCCUUUCUCUUGGUUUACAGUCAUUAUCUUCCAAAGACCUUGCUCUGCUUGGUAGGGAUCACACUGCUGAGGAAUCAUUGAGGUGCCUGGAAAUAGCUAAGGAAUUGUUUCCAGGAAGAGUGUCCAUUGAUCUAUUGUUUGGAAGACCAGGACAAUCUGUGAAUGAAUGGGAAAAAGAACUGCAACAGGUUCUGGUGCAUUCCAAUAGACAUGUGUCCCUUUAUCAGUUAACAUUAGAAGCUGGAACACCUUUGUAUAAAAGUGUUAAAGCAGGACAUCUGUCCUUACCAGGUAUUGAUACCAUGGCAGAUCUUUAUCACAAGGCUGUACAAGUCUUAGAAGGAGAAGGUUUUCACAGAUAUGAAGUUUCCAACUUUGCAAAGCAUGGAUCAGAGAGCAGACAUAAUUUAUCAUACUGGAAUGGAGGUGCUUACCUUGGUGUUGGACCUGGGGCACAUGGAAGGUUUCCUUUAGAGUCAAAUGGGACAAAAACACGUUUUGCAAGAAUUCAAACGCUGGAGCCGAAUUCAUGGAUGGCAGAGGUAGAGCAUUUUGGCCAUGGAACAAGGCAGUCCAUUCCACAAUCGACCAGUGAAGUGUUAGAAGAAAUAUUGGUCUCAGGUCUGCGAACAAAAAAUGGAGUCACUAACAAGACAUGGUCAAAGUUUGCUGGAAAGGACAUUGGCAAUCUGAGAGACAUUUUCUCCUCCUGUCAGGAAGCUGAAGAGUUCAUUGAUGCAGGAUUACUUGAGUUAGAUGACAGGGGAGUUAGAGCUUCAUCGGCAGGACUUUCUGUCAUUGAUGGCAUCAUACCACAUCUUGCCCUUCAUCUGGAACACUUUUUGAUCUGAAUGGGAUUUACAUUUGGAUGCAUAAAGGGUGCUUAUGACCAGUACGAACUGAAAAAAUGGAGCGAUGUUCAGACAUACAUCAUUGAAGGUAACUGUCACCCCCUUGAAACAAGCUGGAUCUGCUGUUGCACAUGAUGGCAUGAUUGAAUCUGACCUUAUAAUGAUUUACAUGAGAAAGAAUUCAGUUUCUCAGGGGAAAAGAGACUAUAGUAUUGCCUGUCCUCCUGUUAUGCCUACCUUUGCAUGAUGGUACAAAGCUUCUAAUAUUACACGCCUAUCCCUUUGGAAAGAGAUGUAAUUUCCCUUAAAGAUAUUGAAUUCUUGUGUGAAUUUUUGUGUAUGACCAGUGAACCAUGUAUGUUAGGUGGUGAAUACACUCAAUUGAAGAUUCGUUGUCGGGUUCAGAAACAUAGAACAUAGAAGCUGAGACCGAAAUGGCACAUGGGAAGUAUGAUAAUUAGAUGUUUCUGGACCUGACAACGAUUCUUCAAUUGAGUAUAUAUAACCCUCUUGCAUCAUAACAGUAACUCUUUUUUUAGCCUUAUGAAUGUACUUUGGCUAUAAAUUAACUCCCUACAGACACUUUCUCUCUUGCGUGAAAGUCUGUAUAUUAAACAAGUGUUAACUGUA